rnacentral:misc_RNA from 1 species
GUGGAGAAGGCGAGGUAAAAGGCGAUGGAAGAGAAGAGGAAGGACCAAGUGGAACCCCAUGAAUGGGUGUGGCUCCAACGGAAUCCGACGAUGGAAGGGUGCUCCGACAGCCAGUAAGUGAAGUCGUUGAUGGGGAUGAUUCCCGGCGACAUCGCCGUUGAUGUUGAGCGGAAACAAUCAGACGGCGGAGGGAGGCAGGAUUU